AAUCCCGAGUUUUUCUCAUCCAAAACCAAUUGAUUUCACGAUCUCUAAAACCGUUCCGGCUCCUUCUAUUAUAAAACUCACCAUGAACUUCAUCUUUCCUACCUUCUCUUAUGUAACUUUUUCUUCUAUUCAUGGAUUCUAGGAAACAUAUCAAAACUUAUACUUAAGUUUCCGUUCUAUAAGAAUCUAAGGAGAAAAGCUUGAACGUUUUCAGAUAUUCAACUUAUAAUGUUCAGGAGGAUUCCAUCAGGAAGAUUUGAGGAGCAAUAGAGGAACAAGAUACGUAAGCAUAUUUUGUCUCUGUUCUGCAACUAUAUGUGUUCCUAUGGUUCAUCUUCACUAAAGCUGGAAAGAUAAUAUACAGUGAGAAAGGCACUAUGUUGGCAGUUGAGCUCUUAAAGAAUCAUGUCGUUCUUCUAACAUAGAGCUGCAAACAACCUUUGAAUGGAGUCCCUAAUUCCCUAGAUCAGAUUUCUUGUCAAUGGAGAUUUUUAAUGAAGCACUAGAUUGAAUUACUGGAAACAAGAAGGAAAGGACAUAAAUUGCUCAUAAACAUGUUAGGAAUUAGAGAAAAUAAAAGAAAAUCCUAAGAGCAAGAAAAAAUGUAGUUAAGAAAGCUUCAAAUUAGUAUUUGCCUUGGACAAAGUAAUUUAUGUCAGUAUUGAACUUAAAACGAUCGAAAGUAAUAUUUAUGUUUAUUUUUAUUUUAUUCUGCUACGUUUUAUAUA